UUCUAACUGAAGUUGCUGGGAUCAUAGACCAUAUCUACCUAAGAGGUUCAUGCCAUUCAUUCAGCCAAAUCACAUCUCGGGAGGAUAGCCGCAACUGAAAACACCAGGGCACACUCUCAGCAACACUUACGAAAGAAACUUCAAAACAAAAGAGGCACCAUUACUCAGCAACGACCCUUUGGAGAAUGUAAACCAGCAUAGUACAAUUCCAAAGUGGCAAACUCAGUUGCAAGAAUUUGUAUAUUCCUUAUAUUCCAUGACUUUUGUUUUUUACAACAUUAUAGAGCCUUUUGCUCUUUAUUGUCAUAUAUUUUAAAGUCUCUUGUGGUGCCUGUUUUACACACACAGGACACCACGUAGUAUCAAUAUCGUAGAAUCCAAAAAUAUAUGUGUUUCCUAAUUGUGAUGUUUUUUAAGUUUCAAAACAGUAUGCUUUCUGACCUGUGGUUUAAAAACAAAACAGUAAUUUCCGUUUGUCCAAAUUCACACCCAGAAUAGAACACUCCUGUCACAUAAUCAAAAAGCCACAACAUAACAGAAACUACUCCAAGUCAUUUGUAAUUACCACCCACUCUUCUUUCUAUAUUAUAGAAACUUCUCCACUGAUUUUAAACUUCCAUGUGUCAGUGUUGGGAAAAAGACUAUACUGGAGCCACAUUCUGUGGUCAGUCUACCUAAGCUGGUGCUGGGAGUUUGGAACAUGCAUGAUGGACUGGUUACGCCGCUUAACCCUGAACAGAGCUUUUGAAUAUAUUAGUGAACCCAAUAAAUUCAAUAGUAAGU